CCACUGUAUGUUUGUAUAAUAGAAAAUAUAUGCUGUUUGGAAAGAAAAUACCUAAUUCCCUGCAGCUACUAACAAUUUACUUUUCUCAGAGUUAGAAUGCAAACAUUCUAUUUCUGUUUUUCUUCACCUCAGAUCAUCCUGACAGUGCUUUACUCUGCUGGAAGGACAUUUUGACAAUAGGUGAAAGAAAACACAGGAACGUAGAGUUCGAAGUUACCUCCAGCAUUUUUGAAUCCAGUGGAGUUCUUCACAGGCAACCAUUUAAUCCAAUGCGGUUCACAGAGUUUAUAUGAUUGCUUAAAAGAAGCUGAAAGUCUGCUUUUAAUUUGAAAACUGGUUUUGAAUUCCAAUUCCAGAAGAGAGAAAUUAAUUCCACUCUUGAAGAAGAAAAUGGGAAGCUAUUGUAAAAAAACCACCAACGCAACUAUGUCAUUAGCAGAAGUGGUGCUUAAGUUCCUAUCCCUGGCAGAGAAACUGCGCAAUGAAAACACAAAUUGAUUGACUGUGUGUGACUUUGAGAAUAUUUGCCACAGGCUAAGGGUGUUCAUCUGCUUAAACAUGCCUAUGUACCCAGACACAGGCAGUUGACUACUGAGUCUUCCAACACUGAGAUUCCCAGUCAUGAACCAGGUCCAGCUCAGAAGCUACCUUAAUUUGCAAAAUGCAGUGUCUCAUCUAACACAGCAGAUGUAAAAAUAUAGAAAAUAAGGAAGUACAGAUCUGCUU
rnacentral:lncRNA from 1 species